AGACGUUAGAUGCAGCCAUACAACAAGUGAGAUUAAAUAAUCGAGAAUUAAUAUUUAGAUGGAAUUUUGAUCUAAGAGAAGGAAAUGGUUCUAAAUUGGAAGUGAAAUUGUAUGUUUUGGUAAAUGAUUAAUGGUUCUGGAUUAUGUGGGAUGAAGGAAAUUAUUUGGAGAAUGAUGACUAAUGAUAGUGAAUUCAAAUGUUAAUUUAAAGAUAUGUUUUGACAUUUAAGAAAAUAUGGAUAGAUUGUAAGAAUUCUAAUUAUCGACUUAGAGGAAUGUGAUUAAUGGAAAUAAAUUAACUAUGUUGGUAAGUUGGGCCUACUAUAAUUAACUCCUGAAAACAUAUAUUUCAGGGGCGGGGUGUUACACUUUAUCUCCCCCUUUCUUCCACCCUUUAUUACCUCUAUAUCUCCCCUUCUCUCCCUCCGUUUUCCCCUACCUUCCCAGCUCCCCCUUUUCCCCCAACUCCACCCCAGUUUUCACUUCUCCAAACCACCAUAGUUGGUUAUUUGGAUUUUCUUUUUAUGCAUUUAAUUUUCAACUUUUUCCUUUUUUAAGCAUUUUAUGUCUCAGGUUGCUCUGAGCUUGGCCUUAGAUGUCCAUGAUUUUAUCUCAGAUCUGGCUUUUAUGUCUUGUUCCUCUCCAAAUAUCACUCCUCACUGUGAAUUUACAACCAUCUACCCUUGUUGCUCGUUUCAUUGGGUGUCUCUUCCUAAGAUCUCCUCCAGAGGUGCACUUUGGUGGCUCGUAGCAUUUAAAGUGCAUUUUGCACUAAUUGGUAGGAUUAUAGGAGUGCUCUCAGCGUAGGUAGCUUGCCUACCCUCAUUUUUCGUGCAUCUAUUUAGUUCUUCGACCCUUCUUUCGGGUGAUGGCAACGAAUUUGCGGUGGCGGUAGUGCUGUUUGGUGGAUGUGGCUGCUUUACAGUUUAAGGUCUAGGCUUUCUGGUUGUUAGUUGCUUUGGGCUGCUCACUUUGGGCUCAUUUCAUUGUAAUUUUCUUUUAUAGAGUUGGACUUUUGCUUGGCUAUUAUGGACUCUCGUUUUGAGUUGUCUUUACUUUGUACUAGCUUUCUCUUUUAAUGAAAUUUACUUUGAUUGACCAAAAAAAGAUGUUUGGUAAAAAAAACUAAAUUUUAAAAUUUUACGGUUAAAAUGCCCCUAGAAAAUUUGUAGUGUACUAAUAUCAUGAAAUGGAAUGGGCCUUUUCCUAUGUCCCUUGAAACCAUACUUAUUGGGCUGAUAUACAUAAGUCUAACAUAAUUGGGUCAAGGGUAGUGUUGUACAUUUCACGUCCUUCAUAAGAAAAAUAUCUGUGCAUUUCACUACAUGCAAAGACAUUCCUAUGGAGAGUUUUCUUUACAUAUUUAUACGGUCUUUUUCACAGAGAAAUUUUUGCUAACAUUCACUUUACUCAAACUCCAAGGAAAAAAACGAUAAUUUCUUACUUUAUAACGGAAGAAGAGCACCAAUUGAUCUUUUGACUGGAUGCAUGAAGAUUUUUAUUUUUCAAUUAGCCUCUUAAGGAGAUUUUAUAAAAUAAUUGAUAGUUGUUGGAGUGUUUUAUCUAAUUUACUCGAACCUUGUGAUAAGUCGAAUAUUUCUAAUUCGGCCAAGUUACGGUAUAUGGCGCGGAACAGAUGCAUACUUUAUGAUGUCACACUAGUAAAGGAGAAUUGUUAAAUUGCGAAAAAAAUUGAGGGUGACGGUCACAUCGCAUCACACGAUUUCCGGAUUACUAACCGACGUGGUAUCCUUAGAGAAGUCAUCAGGGUCCACUUUAGAGCAACUCCAGCGGAGGCUGGUUGCUCGGGCGACAGGCGAGGACAAAGGGCCCGAGGGCCGGUGGAGAGAGCUCCAGCCGUGUGGAGGUCGAGCGACGGUGGGAGCCCGAGCGAAGGUGGGGUGGGGAGUCGACGGGCCUGUGGCCCGAGUGCUUUGCAAUUUUUUUUUUUUUUUGUGUCAAAGAGAGAGAGAGAGAGAGCU
rnacentral:lncRNA from 1 species